rnacentral:rRNA from 1 species
AUUGAACGCUGGCGGCAAGCCUAACACAUGCAAGUCGAACGAGUGGCGGACGGGUGAGUAAUGUCUGGGAAACUGCCUGAUGGAGGGGGAUAACUACUGGAAACGGUAGCUAAUACCGCAUAACAUCGGAUGUGGCCAGAUGGGAUUAGCUAGUAGGUGGGGUAAAGGCACACCUAGGCGACGAUCCCUAGCUGGUCGGAGAGGAUGACCAGGCACACUGGAACUGAGACACGGUCCGGACUCCUACGUGAGUCAGCAGGGGGGUAUAUUGCACGAUGGGCGCAAGCCUGAUGCAGCCAUGCCGCGUGUAUGAAGAAGGCCUUCGGGUUGUAAAGUACUUUCAGCGGGGAGGCGUUACCCGCAGAAGAAGCACCGGCUAACUCCGUGCCAGCCGCCUCGGUAAUUC